UCUAAAAUCUUGAUAGAUUCAAAGAAAGCUGUAUUGGAAAGGUGGCUGGAGAUGGAAUUUACAAUAACGCUUGAUGGAAUUUGUGCGACUAUGAAGCACCAGAUUGAAAUGAGAAGGCCAGCAAGGGUUUGCAUCAGUGCUUUUCUUAAGUCUGGUAUUGUGAUUCAGAAAGUAUUGAUGGGAACAGAAAAGAGCGAGACACAGAAGGAGAAAAAAAGUUUGGAUAACCAACUACAAAUCCACCAAACCAACACCCGAGAAACAAGUGAAACAGAAAAAGCAGCUGAUUUCUGGAAAAAAAACAGUAGGCUCAUGCAAUCUUAACAUUCUUUUUUCAACUUCAUUUGUUCUACAUGUAAAUUUGGGACGAUGCUGUCAUUAUAUUGGAAAAUUAUUCUAACAGUCAUGUAGUAAUUUUCAUGUCAGUCUUUUGAACAUUACCAUUAUUUGAACAUAUUGUUGUUAAUGAAACACAACUGUUUUGUGUAUGUAAAAUACAAAGAUUGAUUGAACCCAGA